CUGACGGAGCAAUACCGCGUGAGGGAGGAAGGCUUUAGGGUUGUAAACCUCUUUUCUCAGGGAAGAUAGUGACGGUACCUGAGGAAUAAGCAUCGGCUAACUCCGUGCCAGCAGCCGCGGUAAUACGGAGGAUGCAAGCGUUAUCCGGAAUGAUUGGGCGUAAAGCGUCCGCAGGUGGCAGUUCAAGUUUGCUGUUAAAGGUCGGGGCUCAACCCCGAACAGGCGGUGAAAACUGAACAGCUAGAGUGCGGUGGGGGCAGAGGGAAUUCCCAGUGUAGCGGUGAAAUGCGUAGAGAUUGGGAAGAACACCGGUGGCGAAAGCGCUCUGCUAGGCCGCAACUGACACUCAGGGACGAAAGCUAGGGGAGCG
rnacentral:rRNA from 1 species